rnacentral:rRNA from 1 species
UACGUAGGUGACAAGCGUUGUCCGGAAUUAUUGGGCGUAAAGAGCUUGUAGGCGGUUUGUCGCGUCUGCUGUGAAAAUCCGGGGCUCAACCCCGGACUUGCAGUGGGUACGGGCAGACUAGAGUGUGGUAGGGGAGACUGGAGUUCCUGGUGUAGCGGUGAAAUGCGCAGAUAUCAGGAGGAACACCGAUGGCGAAGGCAGGUCUCUGGGCCACUACUGACGCUGAGAAGCGAAAGCAUGGGGAGCGAACAGGAUUAGAUA